ACGAGUGGCGGACGGGUGAGUAAUGUCUGGGAAACUGCCUGAUGGAGGGGGAUAACUACUGGAAACGGUAGCUAAUACCGCAUAACGUCGCAAGACCAAAGAGGGGGACCUUCGGGCCUCUUGCCAUCGGAUGUGCCCAGAUGGGAUUAGCUAGUAGGUGGGGUAACGGCUCACCUAGGCGACGAUCCCUAGCUGGUCUGAGAGGAUGACCAGCCACACUGGAACUGAGACACGGUCCAGACUCCUACGGGAGGCAGCAGUGGGGAAUAUUGCACAAUGGGCGCAAGCCUGAUGCAGCCAUGCCGCGUGUAUGAAGAAGGCCUUCGGGUUGUAAAGUACUUUCAGCGGGGAGGAAGGGAGUAAAGUUAAUACCUUUGCUCAUUGACGUUACCCGCAGAAGAAGCACCGGCUAACUCCGUGCCAGCAGCCGCGGUAAUACGGAGGGUGCAAGCGUUAAUCGGAAUUACUGGGCGUAAAGCGCACGCAGGCGGUUUGUUAAGUCAGAUGUGAAAUCCCCGGGCUCAACCUGGGAACUGCAUCUGAUACUGGCAAGCUUGAGUCUCGUAGAGGGGGGUAGAAUUCCAGGUGUAGCGGUGAAAUGCGUA
rnacentral:rRNA from 1 species